AAACAUACACCUUUAGGCUGUCUUGGCAUAAAUGUCCUUCCCUGGGUGAUCUGACGUAAUUUGAGUGUCUAAUAAUAGGCUUUUGAGGUCAACAAAGCCAUUGGAAAAGGCCCUAACAACCCUGAGACAAAGAAUAUAAAAUUAUCAGAGAUUAAAUGCAUUCACCACAGCUCACAGAGCUUAGAUUCUCAGCGGGGAUUCAGAGCGGUUGAGUAUCAGGCAGCCGCAGUCGGGCGCUGAACUGCAGGGCGACAAAAUCUACUAUUGUGCAUUAGAAAUAGUCACUUAAUCUAUCUUAAUGGAUGAGAAACCCAUGGGACAAGCGUGCAUUAAAGUCGGCAAUCUCUUUAAGCUGUGGCUAACUAUGGAAUUGUCACUGCCCACUCUCAACACAAGGAGAAGUGCUGCAUUAAGCAUUUAGGGUAAGGUCAUACACACAUGGAAUAAACAAGGCACGGAUGAGGCAGCUUUUCCUCGGGUGAACAGGAACUACAGCCAAUUUGGAUGCAGUUAAGGAUACAAGAUGAACUGAUCUCAGUUCUCUGCUGAUUAUUGCAGUGGAAAUACAAAUAAGUGUAUACACCAGUUUUGAACAUUUCACAGAAGCACUGAUGUAAAAAGCCCAGAGUCUUCUGAUACAACUGUUUGCUUCUAUGGCAUCAUUUUCUUCCAGAGGAAAGGAGCUGCUGUUUCAUUGUGUAAGCUCUGCUCAAUUCUUCCCAAUGGCAGUGAACUUAGAAGCUGGAAUGGCUGUGUGCAAAGGCUUAACCCUGUGUAUUCCUUUCACACCUUUUCCUGAUCCAACAGACAUCACUGUAAUGAAAGUAUUUGACAAGCU